rnacentral:rRNA from 1 species
AACGAACGCUGGCGGCAGGCCUAACACAUGCAAGUCGAACGCCCUGGCAACAGGGAGUGGCAGACGGGUGAGUAACGCGUGGGAACGUGCCCUUCGGUUCGGAAUAACUCAGGGAAACUUGAGCUAAUACCGAAUACGUGUGAGAGCAGAAAGAUUUAUCGCCGAAGGAACGGCCCGCGUCCGAUUACGUAGUUGGUGAGGUAAUGGCUCACCAAGGCGACGAACGGUAGCUGGUCUGAGAGGAUGAUCAGCCACACUGGGACUGAGACACGGCCCAGACUCCUACGGGAGGCAGCAGUGGGGAAUAUUGGACAAUGGGCGCAAGCCUGAUCCAGCCAUGCCGCGUGAGUGAUGAAGGCCCUAGGGUUGUAAAGCUCUUUCGCCAGGGACGAUAAUGACGGUACCUGGAUAAGAAGCCCCGGCUAACUUCGUGCCAGCAGCCGCAGUAA